rnacentral:rRNA from 1 species
UGAGGAAUAUUGGUCAAUGGGGGCAACCCUGAACCAGCCAAGUCGCGUGAAGGAUGAAGGUCUUAUGGAUUGUAAACUUCUUUUACACGGGAAUAAAGCGGGGGGCGUGUCCCUCUUUGCAUGUACCGUGUGAAUAAGGAUCGGCUAACUCCGUGCCAGCAGCCGCGGUAAUACGGAGGAUCCGAGCGUUAUCCGGAUUUAUUGGGUUUAAAGGGUGCGCAGGCGGGAUGUUAAGUCGGCGGUGAAAUUUUGCAGCUCAACUUUAAAAGUGCCUUCGAUACUGGCCUUGUUGAGUGUGGAUGAAGUAGGCGGAAUUUGUGGUGUAGCGGUGAAAUGCUUAGAUAUCACGAGGAACUCCGAUUGCGCAGGCAGCUUACUAAGCCACAACUGACGCUCAUGCACGAAGGCGUGGGGAUCAAACA